AGUGAACGCUGGCGGUAGGCCUAACACAUGCAAGUCGAACGGCAGCACAGUAAAAGCUUGCUCUUACGGGAGGCGAGUGGCGGACGGGUGAGGUAUACAUCGGAAUCUACUUUUUCGUGGGGGAUAAAGUAGGGAAACUUACGCUAAUACCGCAUACUACCUACGGGUGAAAGCAGGGGAUCUUCGGACCUUGCGCGAUUGAAUGAGCCGAUGUCGGAUUAGCUAGUUGGCGGGGUAAAGGCCCACCAAGGCGACGAUCCGUAGCUGGUCUGAGAGGAUGAUCAGCCACACUGGAACUGAGACACGGUCCAGACUCCUACGGGAGGCAGCAGUGGGGAAUAUUGGACAAUGGGCGCAAGCCUGAUCCAGCCAUACCGCGUGGGUGAAGAAGGCCUUCGGGUUGUAAAGCCCUUUUGUUGGGAAAGAAAAGCAGCAGGUUAAUACCCCGCUGUUCUGACGGUACCCAAAGAAUAAGCACCGGCUAACUUCGUG
rnacentral:rRNA from 1 species